rnacentral:rRNA from 1 species
GACGAACGCUGGCGGCAAGCUUAACACAUGCAAGUCGAGCGCCCCGCAAGGGGAGCGGCAGACGGGUGAGUAACGCGUGGGAACGUGCCUUUCGGUUCGGAACAACUGAGGGAAACUUCAGCUAAAACCGGAUACGCCCUUCGGGGGAAAGUUUACGCCGAAAGAUCGGCCCGCGUUAGAUUAGCUAGUUGGUGGGGUAAUGGCCUACCAAGGCGACGAUCUAUAGCUGUUCUGAGAGGAAGAUCAGCCACACUGGGACUGAGACACGGCCCAGACUCCUACGGGAGGCAGCAGUGGGGAAUAUUGGACAAUGGGCGCAAGCCUGAUCCAGCUAUGCCGCGUGGAUGAAGAAGGCCUUCGGGUUGUAAAGUCCUUUCGUUGGUGACGAUAAUGACGGUAACCAAAGAAGAAGCCCCGGCUAAUUUCGUGCCAGCCGCCGCAGUAAAAC